rnacentral:rRNA from 1 species
AGUGAACGCUGGCGGUAGGCCUAACACAUGCAAGUCGAACGGCAGCACAGUAAGAGCUUGCUCUUACGGGUGGCGAGUGGCGGACGGGUGAGGAAUACAUCGGAAUCUACUUUUUCGUGGGGGAUAACGUAGGUAAACUUACGCUAAUACCGCAUACGACCUACGGGUGAAAGCAGGGGAUCUUCGGACCUUGCGCGAUUGAAUUAGCCGAUGUCGGAUUAGCUAGUUGGCGGGGUAAAGGCCCACCAAGGCGACGAUCCGUAGCUGGUCUGAGAGGAUGAUCAGCGACACUGGAACUGAGACACGGUCCAGACUCCUAAGGGAGGCAGCAGUGGGGAAUAUUGGACAAUGGGCGCAAGCCUGAUCCAGCCAUACCGAGUGGGUGAAGAAGGCCUUCGGGUUGUAAAGCCCUUUUGUUGGGAAAGAAAAGCAGCAGGUUAAGACCCCGCUGUUCUGACGGUACCCAAAGAAUAAGCACCGGCUAACUUCGUG